GUCCGCCAUGGGCGCAGCAGUGGGAAGGGCACAGAGCAGAUCGUCUCGACUGCGAUCGCACAGCACGUGAUGGACAGCCGGUGGAUCAGGCCCAGCCAGAGUGCGCUCGUGAAAGGCAGGUCCUGCCUGAGCAACCUCACCUGCUUCUAUGAGCAGGGGACGGUACAGGCUGGACUGUAGUAAAGCCUUGGAUUGUCUCCCACAGCGUUCUCCUGCAGAAGCAGCGGCCCAUGGACAGCCCAAGCAAACACAUCCGCAGUCACCAAGGAGUUACAGUGCAUAUGUCCUACCAGGAAAUUUUAGAUGUUUGCUGGCAGCCAAUGAAAGGAGAGAUAAACAAUGCUGCUGACUCAUGAGCAAGAAAGCUCCGACUGCUUUCAGAGCAGAUUCACACUGGGUAUCUGCAGCACUAUCACUACAACGCUGGUCAUUUUUAUGCUUGUAUUUCUGAAGGGAAUGGAAGUUGCUGCUUCAGGAUAUAGCAAUUAUCAGAUGCUGUAAAUCUGAAUGUCUCCUGCCUUCUCUUGGGAUUUACCGCUACCAGAGACUUGUGGGGAUAGUGACUGAGUGGAUGAUCAAUGGAUCCCUCCAUUCACUCAUCCACAAGGUAUGUAAGGUCUUUUGUGACAAAACUAACUACAAGCUAAGCCAAAAGAGAGCAACCAGCAUGUAAAUUAUGGACAUAAUCACAGUCACAGUCAGUCUGCUAUUUGAUUCAGUGUUGUAUUUUUGUUUACUGUCAAAUGGAAGUGUAAUAUUAACAGUUUCACCGUACGCAAACCUGUCCUUUUAUUCUUUAGCAUCAACUGUACCCAGAUCUUCCGUUUCCCUUACUCAUAAGGAUCCUGUCAGAUGUGGCUGAAGGGCUGCAUUACCUACACAGCCUCCUUCCUGCUGACUGCCACUGCAGACUGAAACCUUCCAAUGUCCUUUUGGAUGCACAGUACAGAGCCAGGGUGGGAAUUCUCAGCCUAUACCUUGCUAACAUAAAAUUCAGUAAUUGCCCUAUGUGUUUACUCUAACAACCAACAUUUAGUUCUGAAACUGAGGCACUGUUAUUAAAACUUACGUUUUCUCCCAUCUCUGUAGAUAACAGAUUAUGGUCUGACCAACUGGAGGCAUCAGAAACAGAGGUCAGACCUGCAGAACUGUCAGAGAAAAUGCCAGGAUUUAGUGUACAUCGCUCCUGAAAUACUUGAAGGGAGUCCUUCUUCACAGGAAGGUGAUAUUGACAGUUUUGGUAUACUGUGCUGGGAGAGCAUAGGCAGACAGAAAACCUUUGAAGGUCAAACAAACCGACUAGGAGCUUUGACAGGGAUCUGUAACAGCUUGCAGCCUGCCAAUUCAGAGAAGUUUGUACCAAGCAAUUUGCCAAAGGGGAACAGACUGUUGCACUUUAUCACUUUAUGCUGUCAUCAAGAACCAGAUUACAGACCACAUGCUGCAGAAAGUGUAGAACUUCUAAAUGGGAUUUUGACGAGUAUAAGUAAGAAGGAAAUUUCCACUGCAGUCUACAAUCUGAUGCAUGCAAAGGAGACAGCAAUUAAUGUAUGCAAGGGUUCAGAAGUAUACACACUGCAGACAGGCAUACAGAACUCAGAGGUCAUCUGUCAACAAAAACUCAGCCAAGUAAUGAGCAAGAAAAUCCCUCCUGUAGUACAAAGUUUGUCACCUAUUCUACUUGGUAGCAGUACAAAUACUGCAAGAAGAGAAAAUAUUCUUCAGGCUGAUCUGACAAAUCCUAUCACACAGGACUCAACAAAGAAAGGCAGAGAAAACUGUCAGCGUAAGGAUCCACCACUGACACUUAAGCACAGUCCACAAACUAUGCACCCUGAACAACCAGUAACAGGUCCUUGCUGCAAAGGAAAUUGCAGUCAAAUACUGGCCAGCCAGAGAGGAACCAUCCUGAGCUGCAUGACAGAAGGACGCCUCAACCACAUCCUUGACAUCCUUCGCUCACAGCAAAUGCUGUCCCGAAUAGAUUAUGAAACAAUCAUUUCUUACCCCACAGUGACCAGCCGUGCUAGGGCACUCCUAGAUAUUUGCCUCUGCCUUGGAGAGAAGGCAGCACAGGUUGUAGUGACUGUUCUGACAGUGAACAAAUGCAGUCCUCUGGCACGAGGCAGCCAUUGCAUAGGUUGGCCUGAGACAAACAGGCUGCUGCUGUGACAUAAUUUUGAGGUUUGCUACAUGGUUCAGAGCACUGGUAACUUGGAGUGGCAGUGAUUCACAUUCAUUCCUCAUAAGCCAUUGAAAUCAGUUCUUCAUCCGACCCAUGAUUGUAAUCCACUCAUGGAAAAAAAAACUACCUGGAUGAAAAGAUCACAUCAACCUGCUGCCUGCAGAAAUUAACCAAGACUGGUAUAACAAAUUCUGAUUAAGUCAAAUGACACCUUAUUUCCUUGAUUUUGGAAGUUAGAACAAUGGAUUAUGAGAUUUUGGAGAUCACACUAAGGAAGAACAACAGUUAUUAAGUCCUUCCAACUAAGCAGUGUGUGAGGAGAAAAAAUACAUUGCCUUUCUCUGAACUCAGCACUGAACCUGCUGUCACUGUGAAAGACUUCAGAGAAUUAAUAAAUAUUUAUUAAUUCUUAA